rnacentral:rRNA from 1 species
GAUGAACGCUGGCGGCGUGCCUAAUACAUGCAAGUCGAGCGAACAGAUGAGGAGCUUGCUCCUCUGACGUUAGCGGCGGACGGGUGAGUAACACGUGGAUAACCUACCUAUAAGACUGGGAUAACUUCGGGAAACCGGAGCUAAUACCGGAUAAUAUAUUGAACCGCAUGGUUCAAUAGUGAAAGACGGUUUUGCUGUCACUUAUAGAUUGAUCCGCGCCGCAUUAGCUAGUUGGUAAGGUAACGGCUUACCAAGGCAACGAUGCGUAGCCGACCUGAGAGGGUGAUAGGCCACACUGGAACUGAGACACGGUCCAGACUCCUACGGGAGGCAGCAGUAGGGAAUCUUCCGCAAUGGGCGAAAGCCUGACGGAGCAACGCCGCGUGAGUGAUGAAGGUCUUCGGAUCGUAAAACUCUGUUAUUAGGGAAGAACAAAUGUGUAAGUAACUAUGCACGUCUUGACGGUACCUAAUCAGAAAGCCACGGCUAACUACGUG